UUCAGUUUUGAAUCUACCUUUUAAAUUCUGUUGGAAAAAGAAACAUACAAUUCCAUUAGGAUUCAAUGAUAGCAGUGCUGAUGUCACAGGCACAGCCCAUAUCCCCUCAGGAAGGACAGGAGCUUCUCCACUGAAAGGCCUGAUGUGCAUUAGUGCAGUGGUUUGUGGGUUGCUGAAAGCUUUUAAAUUACACAUUUCCAGAGUAAGAGGGUAUGCAUGGGGAAAGAGAAAUUGAAAUUAAAAAAAACCAGACAAUACUCCAUCUGGGGGUGCUUGGAGUUGGAGAGCAGGCCAGGGCUGCCUGCAGAGACACAGUGGCAUUUGGAGACACCUACAGGGAUCCUAUUCCAGCUGUGCCCUGUGUGGGGUGAGCGUGGAGCCCGUGUUUGUCACGGGCUCAGGACAGGCCAUGGGAAUCUAAGAGAAGAGGAGCCAGAUCCAAAGCAGGGUCUCUAUGUGUUUCUCCCUCAAAUCCCAUGCUCAGAGGGCAGGCUUGUUGGAGUGUGUGUGUAUUUCAGAUACAGUGAGCUGGAAAAUUACAGUACUGGAGGUUACACAGCUGCAAAUUAGGCAUAAGUAAGAGCGAACUUGAGCAACCAAUUCCUGAAAUUAGCCCCAUUGAAAAGCACUUGAAGACGCAAUUCAGCUGUGGUUUGAGAGCACAAGGACUUCCAGGAAUUAAUCUGAUCUCCCAGCUCUGUCUGGCACCAUGUCAGAGGGAGAGGAGCUGGGACGUGAGCAGGCAUUGAGCUGAAGAGCAGAGCGUGCAGCAAUCGAGCAGCAAAGCAAACAUUUACUGCCUACUUGUCUGCAAAAGGAGUUCUGACACACUCUCCUGCACCUGGGGCUGCCUCAGCACGAGCAGAGCCGUGAAGGAGGCACCAUGACAUUGAUUCUUGGGCAGAGCAAGGAGGCACAUCAAGAAGGAUGUCAAUUCUUUGGCAGAACAAAGCACUGCCACCAGACUGCUUCAGAAGGAUGUAGGAUGUUCAUCACCCCCAAAACUGCCCAGGCCCCUUGUGCACAGGAGCAGCUGAUGGAGGAAUGCACAGCCAGUCCUCAGGAGCUUGCUCCCGUUAUGUCUCACCCGAGAAAAAGAAGAAUCCCCAUCAGACUGGAUGUUUUAGUGGUAUGACAUGACCAGAAGCAAAAUGCCAUAUGUCUUCUGUCUUCAUUGUGAUAAAAGUUGAGGGCAGCAGACAUGGAUUUUUACAAGUUCCUGAUGCUCAAAAAGCCUUGGGAAAUUUAAGAAUAUUAAAAUGAAGCCAAAAGGAAGAGCCAAGUGUGGUUUUCUGUCCACACUUCACUUACUCAGCAUUUCUGUCACUGGGCCAGUGUGGGCUGGGAUCUGCUUCCCCGCAGAGACAAAGGUUUAAGCACUGUGAGGAAGAUACUGAUUUUUUCUUUUUUCCACAUUAACUGAAACAAAACAUAUUUACUUGAGGACAUUUGUGAGGGCUAUAGCAUAUGAAUGGCACCUUCCAUGCCCCAGAGGAGAUGAAUACCUGUUAGAUUAGUCGCUAAGCAGUGUCAGAAGCAAGAAAGAUCUGCAGCCAUUGUUCAAUGAAUUUGAACAAUGAGGAAGAGAGUUUAAAUUUAUAUAAUCUGCUUCAUCUGGGACUAGCUGACUUGACUAACUAGAAGAUGAAACACAUGAAAUGGAAUUCAUAUAGUGGAAUAAGCUUUGCUCAUUUGCUGAGCUGGAAGACAUUUCACAUGGAAAUUUAGGAAAAUGCACAAAAGUAAUUCUUAUGAUUUAAAUUUUUUCCCUAAAAAAGCUGAACAGAAAUAUUCUAAAUAAAUGGUGUGCAAAAUAC